rnacentral:rRNA from 1 species
AGCGAACGCUGGCGGCAGGCUUAACACAUGCAAGUCGAGCGGGCACUUUCGGGUGUCCGCGGCGGACGGGUGAGUAACGCGUGGGAACGUGCCCUCUGGUUCGGAAUAACUCAGGGAAACUUGAGCUAAUACCGGAUACGCCCUUUUGGGGAAAGGCUUGCUGCCGGAGGAUCGGCCCGCGUCUGAUUAGCUAGUUGGUGAGGUAACGGCUCACCAAGGCGACGAUCAGUAGCUGGCCUGAGAGGAUGAUCAGCCACACUGGGACUGAGACACGGCCCAGACUCCUACGGGAGGCAGCAGUGGGGAAUAUUGGACAAUGGGCGCAAGCCUGAUCCAGCCAUGCCGCGUGAGUGAUCAAGGCCUUAGGGUUGUAAAGCUCUUUUAUCCGGGACGAUAAUGACGGUACCGGAGGAAUAAGCCCCGGCUAACUUCGUG